GCUCAGAUUGAACGCUGGCGGCAGGCCUAACACAUGCAAGUCGAGCGGAUGACGGGAGCUUGCUCCCUGAUUUAGCGGCGGACGGGUGAGUAAUGCCUAGGAAUCUGCCUGGUAGUGGGGGAUAACGUUCCGAAAGGAACGCUAAUACCGCGUACGUCCUACGGGAGAAAGCAGGGGACCUUCGGGCCUUGCGCUAUCAGAUGAGCCUAGGUCGGAUUAGCUAGUUGGUGAGGUAAUGGCUCACCAAGGCGACGAUCCGUAACUGGUCUGAGAGGAUGAUCAGUCACACUGGAACUGAGACACGGUCCAGACUCCUACGGGAGGCAGCAGUGGGGAAUAUUGGACAAUGGGCGAAAGCCUGAUCCAGCCAUGCCGCGUGUGUGAAGAAGGUCUUCGGAUUGUAAAGCACUUUAAGUUGGGAGGAAGGGCAUUAACCUAAUACGUUAGUGUUUUGACGUUACCAACAGAAUAAGCACCGGCUAACUUCGUGCCAGCAGCCGCGGUAAUACGAAGGGUGCAAGCGUUAAUCGGAAUUACUGGGCGUAAAGCGCGCGUAGGUGGUUCGUUAAGUUGGAUGUGAAAGCCCCGGGCUCAACCUGGGAACUGCAUCCAAAACUGGCGAGCUAGAGUACGGUAGAGGGUGGUGGAAUUUCCUGUGUAGCGGUGAAAUGCGUAGAUAUAGGAAGGAACACCAGUGGCGAAGGCGACCACCUGGACUGAUACUGAC
rnacentral:rRNA from 1 species